rnacentral:rRNA from 1 species
CACGUAGGGGGCGAGCGUUGUCCGGAUUUAUUGGGCGUAAAGAGCUCGUAGGCGGCUCAGUAAGUCGGGUGUGAAAACUCCAGGCUCAACCUGGAGACGCCACCUGAUACUGCUGUGGCUAGAGUCCGGUAGGGGAGCAUGGAAUUCCUGGUGUAGCGGUGAAAUGCGCAGAUAUCAGGAGGAACACCAGUGGCGAAGGCGGUGCUCUGGGCCGGAACUGACGCUGAGGAGCGAAAGCGCGGGGAGCAAACAGG